rnacentral:rRNA from 1 species
GACGGCCAUACCAUGCUGAAUAUACCGGUUCUCGUUAGAUCACCGAAGUCAAGCAUCAUUGGGCGCGGUCAGUACUUGGGUGGCUGACCAACUGGGAACACCGCGUGCCGUU